CCUACGGGGGGCAGCAGUGGGGAAUAUUGCACAAUGGGGGAAACCCUGAUGCAGCGAAGCCGCGUGAGUGAAGAAGUAAUUCGGUAUGUAAAGCCUUAUCAGCAGGGAAGAAAAUGACGGUACCUGAGUAAGAAGCCCCGGCGAACGACGUGCCAGCAGCCGCGGGAAUACGGAGGGGGCAAGCGUUAUCCGGAUUUACUGGGUGUAAAGGGGGCGUAGACGGCAGUGCAAGUCUGGAGUGAAAGUCGGGGGCUCAACCCCCGGACUGCUCUGGAAACUGGACGGCUGGAGUGCAGGAGAGGUAAGUGGAAUUCGUAGUGUAGCGGUGAAAUGCGUAGAUAUUAGGAGGAACACCAGUGGCGAAGGCGGCUUACUGGACUGUAACUGACGUUGAGGCUCGAAAGCGUGGGGAGCAAACAGGAUUAGAUACCCCAGUAGUC
rnacentral:rRNA from 1 species